GAAUACGAAAAUCGACCAAGUGCUGUGGUGUUGGUUUAGAACCCCAUACGGAUUGAAUCCGUCAGUGGCAAGUCCCAAUCUCACAUUUCAGGGAUCCGCAGCAAACUCAGGGAACGUUCGAUCGAACUCUUUCCAUGCCUCCCCAUCUGCAGGAUGCCGCAUCACAUCAUCAUCUACCCAUUUUUCCUUAUGCCAUCUCAUGUUUGUGGCAGUAUGUGUCGACAUAUAAAAUCGCUGCAACCUAGGUUUCAGGGGCAGACAACGCAUGACUUUUUGUGGGAUCUUAUUCGUUCUAUUCUGAGA
rnacentral:lncRNA from 1 species